rnacentral:rRNA from 1 species
AUUGAACGCUGGCGGCAUGCCUUACACAUGCAAGUCGAACGGCAGCACGGGAGCAAUCCUGGUGGCGAGUGGCGAACGGGUGAGUAACAUAUCGGAACGUGCCCAGUCGUGGGGGAUAACGCAGCGAAAGCUGUGCUAAUACCGCAUACGCUCUAUGGAUGAAAGCGGGGGAUCGCAAGACCUUCCGGGAUUGGAGCGGCCGAUAUCAGAUUAGCUAGUUGGUGAGGUAAAGGCUCACCAAGGCGACGAUCUGUAGCUGGUCUGAGAGGACGACCAGCCACACUGGAACUGAGACACGGUCCAGACUCCUACGGGAGGCAGCAGUGGGGAAUUUUGGACAAUGGGCGCAAGCCUGAUCCAGCAAUGCCGCGUGCAGGAUGAAGGCCUUCGGGUUGUAAACUGCUUUUGUACGGAACGAAACGGUCUUUCCUAAUACGAGAGGCUAAUGACGGUACCGUAAGGAUAAGCACCGGCUAACUACGUGCCAGCCGCCGCCGUAA